rnacentral:rRNA from 1 species
ACACAUGCAAGUCGUACGGNNGUCAUGNGCUAGCUUGCUAGAUUGAUGGCGAGUGGCGAACGGGUGAGUAAUACAUCGGAACGUGCCCUGUAGUGGGGGAUAACUAGUCGAAAGAUUAGCUAAUACCGCAUACGACCUGAGGGUGAAAGUGGGGGACCGCAAGGCCUCAUGCUAUAGGAGCGGCCGAUGUCUGAUUAGCUAGUUGGUGAGGUAAAGGCUCACCAAGGCGACGAUCAGUAGCUGGUCUGAGAGGACGAUCAGCCACACUGGGACUGAGACACGGCCCAGACUCCUACGGGAGGCAGCAGUGGGGAAUUUUGGACAAUGGGCGAAAGCCUGAUCCAGCAAUGCCGCGUGUGUGAAGAAGGCCUUCGGGUUGUAAAGCACUUUUGUCCGGAAAGAAAUGGCUCUGGUUAAUACCUGGGGUCGAUGACGGUACCGGAAGAAUAAGGACCGGCUAACUACGUGCCAGCAGCCGCGGUAAUACGUAGGGUCCAAGCGUUAAUCGGAAUUACUGGGCGUAAAGCGUGCGCAGGCGGUUGUGCAAGACCGAUGUGAAAUCCCCGAGCUUAACUUGGGAAUUGCAUUGGUGACUGCACGGCUAGAGUGUGUCAGAGGGGGGUAGAAUUCCACGUGUAGCAGUGAAAUGCGUAGAGAUGUGGAGGAAUACCGAUGGCGAAGGCAGCCCCCUGGGAUAACACUGACGCUCAUGCACGAAAGCGUG